AGCGUACACGGUGGAUGCCCUGGCAGUCAGAGGCGAUGAAGGACGUGCUAAUCUGCGAUAAGCGUCGGUAAGGUGAUAUGAACCGUUAUAACCGGCGAUUUCCGAAUGGGGAAACCCAGUGUGAUUCGUCACACUAUCAUUAACUGAAUCCAUAGGUUAAUGAGGCGAACCGGGGGAACUGAAACAUCUAAGUACCCCGAGGAAAAGAAAUCAACCGAGAUUCCCCCAGUAGCGGCGAGCGAACGGGGAGGAGCCCAGAGCCUGAAUCAGUGUGUGUGUUAGUGGAAGCGUCUGGAAAGGCGCGCGAUACAGGGUGACAGCCCCGUACACAAAAAUGCACAUGCUGUGAGCUCGAUGAGUAGGGCGGGACACGUGGUAUCCUGUCUGAAUAUGGGGGGACCAUCCUCCAAGGCUAAAUACUCCUGACUGACCGAUAGUGAACCAGUACCGUGAGGGAAAGGCGAAAGGAACCCCGGCGAGGGGAGUGAAAAAGAACCUGAAACCGUGUACGUACAAGCAGUGGGAGCACAGAGCAAUCUGUGUGACUGCGUACCUUUUGUAUAAUGGGUCAGCGACUUAUAUUCUGUAGCAAGGUUAACCGAAUAGGGGAGCCGAAGGGAAACCGAAUCUUAACUGGGCGUUAAGUUGCAGGGUAUAGACCCGAAACCCGGUGAUCUAGCCAUUGGCAGGUUGAAGGUUGGGUAACACUAACUGGAGGACCGAACCGACUAAUGUUGAAAAAUUAGCGGAUGACUUGUGGCUGGGGGUGAAAGGCCAAUCAAACCGGGAGAUAGCUGGUUCUCCCCGAAAGCUAUUUAGGUAGCGCCUCGUGAAUUCAUCUCCGGGGGUAGAGCACUGUUUCGGCAAGGGGGUCAUCCCGACUUACCAACCCGAUGCAAACUGCGAAUACCGGAGAAUGUUAUCACGGGAGACACACGGCGGGUGCUAACGUCCGUCGUGAAGAGGGAAACAACCCAGACCGCCAGCUAAGGUCCCAAAGUCAUGGUUAAGUGGGAAACGAUGUGGGAAGGCCCAGACAGCCAGGAUGUUGGCUUAGAAGCAGCCAUCAUUUAAAGAAAGCGUAAUAGCUCACUGGUCGAGUCGGCCUGCGCGGAAGAUGUAACGGGGCUAAACCAUGCACCGAAGCUGCGGCAGCGACACUGUGUGUUGUUGGGUAGGGGAGCGUUCUGUAAGCCUGUGAAGGUGUGCUGUGAGGCAUGCUGGAGGUAUCAGAAGUGCGAAUGCUGACAUAAGUAACGAUAAAGCGGGUGAAAAGCCCGCUCGCCGGAAGACCAAGGGUUCCUGUCCAACGUUAAUCGGGGCAGGGUGAGUCGACCCCUAAGGCGAGGCCGAAAGGCGUAGUCGAUGGGAAACAGGUUAAUAUUCCUGUACUUGGUGUUACUGCGAAGGGGGGACGGAGAAGGCUAUGUUGGCCGGGCGACGGUUGUCCCGGUUUAAGCGUGUAGGCUGGUUUUCCAGGCAAAUCCGGAAAAUCAAGGCUGAGGCGUGAUGACGAGGCACUACGGUGCUGAAGCAACAAAUGCCCUGCUUCCAGGAAAAGCCUCUAAGCAUCAGGUAACAUCAAAUCGUACCCCAAACCGACACAGGUGGUCAGGUAGAGAAUACCAAGGCGCUUGAGAGAACUCGGGUGAAGGAACUAGGCAAAAUGGUGCCGUAACUUCGGGAGAAGGCACGCUGAUAUGUAGGUGAAGUCCCUCGCGGAUGGAGCUGAAAUCAGUCGAAGAUACCAGCUGGCUGCAACUGUUUAUUAAAAACACAGCACUGUGCAAACACGAAAGUGGACGUAUACGGUGUGACGCCUGCCCGGUGCCGGAGGUUAAUUGAUGGGGUCAGCGCAAGCGAAGCUCUUGAUCGAAGCCCCGGUAAACGGCGGCCGUAACUAUAACGGUCCUAAGGUAGCGAAAUUCCUUGUCGGGUAAGUUCCGACCUGCACGAAUGGCGUAAUGAUGGCCAGGCUGUCUCCACCCGAGACUCAGUGAAAUUGAACUCGCUGUGAAGAUGCAGUGUACCCGCGGCAAGACGGAAAGACCCCGUGAACCUUUACUAUAGCUUGACACUGAACAUUGAGCCUUGAUGUGUAGGAUAGGUGGGAGGCUUUGAAGUGUGGACGCCAGUCUGCAUGGAGCCGACCUUGAAAUACCACCCUUUAAUGUUUGAUGUUCUAACGUGGACCCGUGAUCCGGGUUGCGGACAGUGUCUGGUGGGUAGUUUGACUGGGGCGGUCU
rnacentral:rRNA from 1 species